UUAAGCCAUGCAAGUCUCAGUACGAACUGACUUAAAGUGAAACCGCAAAAGGCUCAGUAAACCGGUCAUAGUUUACCGGAUAUAUGCCACUCACGUGGAUAACUGUGGUAAUUCUAGAGCUAAUACAUGCAAACAAGUCCCGACCAGCGAUGGGGAGGACGCUUUUAUUGGAUCAAAACCUUUCGCCCGGCCUGCCCGGGCGUCAGCUUGAUGACUCUAGAUAACACCACAGAUCGCACGGUCACAGUACCGGUGACAUAUCCUUCAAAUGUCUGACUUAUCAGCUGUCGAUGGUAGACUCUGUGUCUACCAUGGCGCUCACGGGUGACGGGGAAUCAGGGUUCGAUUCCGGAGAGGGAGCCUGAGAAACGGCUACCACAUCCAAGGAAGGCAGCAGGCACGCAAAUUACCCACUCCCGGCACGGGGAGGUAGUGACAAAAAAUAACGAUACGGGACUCAUCCGAGGCCCCGUAAUCGGAAUGAGAACACCCUAAAUCCUUUAACGAGGAUCUAUUGGAGGGCAAGUCUGGUGCCAGCAGCCGCGGUAAUUCCAGCUCCAAUAGCGUAUAUUAAAGUUGUUGCGGUUAAAAAGCUCGUAGUUGGUUCUGCGUGCCACGCUGUCGGUUCACCGCCUGCCGGUGCAACUGGCAUGCCGUGGCAUGUCCUGUCGGUGGCGGAUAGGCUUCGCGGCGCGCCCUAUGCGGUAUACCAGCGUGUAGGUUGCU
rnacentral:rRNA from 1 species